rnacentral:pre_miRNA from 1 species
UAUGUACUCCCUCUGUCCCAAAUUUUUUGUCUUACAUUUGUCUAAAUACGGAUGUAUCUAGUUACGUUUUAGUGUUAGAUACAUCUGUAUCUAGACAAAUUUAAGACAAGAAUUUUGGGACGGAGGAAGUAUAUG